UCCAAGUUGGCAAUGAAUGGGCUCUCACA
rnacentral:piRNA from 1 species